UACAGAGGGUGCGAGCGUUGUCCGGAAUUAUUGGGCGUAAAGCGCGCGCAGGCGGUUUCUUAAGUCUGAUGUGAAAGCCCACGGCUCAACCGUGGAGGGUCAUUGGAAACUGGGAAACUUGAGUGCAGAAGAGAAGAGCGGAAUUCCACGUGUAGCGGUGAAAUGCGUAGAGAUGUGGAGGAACACCAGUGGCGAAGGCGGCUCUUUGGUCUGUAACUGACGCUGAGGCGCGAAAGCGUGGGGAGCGAACAGG
rnacentral:rRNA from 1 species